CCUACGGGAGGCAGCAGUGAGGAAUAUUGGUCAAUGGACGCAAGUCUGAACCAGCCAUGCCGCGUGCAGGAUGACGGCUCUAUGAGUUGUAAACUGCUUUUGUACGAGGGUAAACCCCGAUACGUGUAUCGGGUUGAAAGUAUCGUACGAAUAAGGAUCGGCUAACUCCGUUCCAGCAGCCGCGGUACUACGGAGGAUCCGAGCGUUAUCCGGAUUUAUUGGGUUUAACGGGUGCGUAGGCGGUUUGAUAAGUUAGAGGUGAAAUGUCGGGGCUCAACCCCGGAACUGCCUCUAAUACUGGUGGGCUAGAGAAUAGUUGCGGUAGGCAGAAUGUAUGGUGUAGCGGUGAAAUGCUUAGAGAUCAUACAGAACACCGAUUGCGAAGGCAGCUUACCAAACUAUAUCUGACGUUGAGGCGCGAAAGCGUGGGUAGCAAACAGGAUUAGAUACCCGGGUAGUC
rnacentral:rRNA from 1 species